GAUGAACGCUAGCUACAGGCUUAACACAUGCAAGUCGAGGGGCAUCAGGAAGAAAGCUUGCUUUCUUUGCUGGCGACCGGCGCACGGGUGAGUAACACGUAUCCAACCUGCCCUUUACUCGGGGAUAGCCUUUCGAAAGAAAGAUUAAUACCCGAUGGCAUAAUGAUUCCGCAUGGUUUCAUUAUUAAAGGAUUCCGGUAAAGGAUGGGGAUGCGUUCCAUUAGGUUGUUGGUGAGGUAACGGCUCACCAAGCCUUCGAUGGAUAGGGGUUCUGAGAGGAAGGUCCCCCACAUUGGAACUGAGACACGGUCCAAACUCCUACGGGAGGCAGCAGUGAGGAAUAUUGGUCAAUGGGCGCUAGCCUGAACCAGCCAAGUAGCGUGAAGGAUGAAGGCUCUAUGGGUCGUAAACUUCUUUUAUAUAAGAAUAAAGUGCAGUAUGUAUACUGUUUUGUAUGUAUUAUAUGAAUAAGGAUCGGCUAACUCCGUGCCAGCAGCCGCGGUAAUACGGAGGAUCCGAGCGUUAUCCGGAUUUAUUGGGUUUAAAGGGAGCGUAGGUGGACUGGUAAGUCAGUUGUGAAAGUUUGCGGCUCAACCGUAAAAUUGCAGUUGAUACUGUCAGUCUUGAGUACAGUAGAGGUGGGCGGAAUUCGUGGUGUAGCGGUGAAAUGCUUAGAUAACACGAAGAACUCCGAUUGCGAAGGCAGCUCACUGGACUGCAACUGACACUGAUGCUCGAAAGUGUGGGUAUCAAACAGGAUUAGAUACCCUGGUAGUCCACACAGUAAACGAUGAAUACUCGCUGUUUGCGAUAUACAGUAAGCGGCCAAGCGAAAGCAUUAAGUAUUCCACCUGGGGAGUACGCCGGCAACGGUGAAACUCAAAGGAAUUGACGGGGGCCCGCACAAGCGGAGGAACAUGUGGUUUAAUUCGAUGAUACGCGAGGAACCUUACCCGGGCUUAAAUUGCAGUGGAAUGAUGUGGAAACAUGUCAGUGAGCAAUCACCGCUGUGAAGGUGCUGCAUGGUUGUCGUCAGCUCGUGCCGUGAGGUGUCGGCUUAAGUGCCAUAACGAGCGCAACCCUUAUCUUCAGUUACUAACAGGUCAUGCUGAGGACUCUGGAGAGACUGCCGUCGUAAGAUGUGAGGAAGGUGGGGAUGACGUCAAAUCAGCACGGCCCUUACGUCCGGGGCUACACACGUGUUACAAUGGGGGGUACAGAAGGCAGCUAGCGGGUGACCGUAUGCUAAUCCCAAAAUCCUCUCUCAGUUCGGAUCGAAGUCUGCAACCCGACUUCGUGAAGCUGGAUUCGCUAGUAAUCGCGCAUCAGCCACGGCGCGGUGAAUACGUUCCCGGGCCU
rnacentral:rRNA from 1 species